AUAUUAGUAAGCGGAGGAAAAGAAACUAACCAGGAUUCCCUUAGUAGCUGCGAGCGAACAGGGAAGAGCCCAGCACUGAAUCCCCGAGGCCUAGCUUCGAGGGAAAUGUGGUGUUUGGGAGGGUUCAUAUACCUGAUACUGCUGCACCGCGUCCAAGUCCAUCUUGAAUGAGGCCACGGUCCCGAGAGGGUGCCAGGCCCGUAGCUGGCCGGUGCUGGUGUUGGGUGAACCUCUCCUUAGAGUCAGGUUGCUUGAGAGUGCAGCCCUAAGUGGGUGGUAAACUCCAUCUAAGGCUAAAUACAACCACGAGACCGAUAGCGAACAAGUACCGUGAGGGAAAGUUGAAAAGAACUUUGAAGAGAGAGUUCAAGAGUACGUGAAACCGCUCAGGGGUAAACGGAAAAGACCCGAAAUUUCCGAAAGGGGAGAUUCACGUCUUCUCGCUGGCUCGACUCCUCGUCCAUUGUCGACGGUUCUAUGCCUCAUUCGAACUUGUUCGGAGCGAGUGGUGGAGCCGCCGUGGUCGAGGAUGUAGGGUCGCGGCAGACCGCACUUCUCCCCUAGUAGGACGUCGUGACCCGUCCGAUCAUGGUCUAAGAGUGUGUAUGGAAGCCUGUUCGUGUUGUUUCGGCAAUUUACGAGCAGACCUUCGCAUGUCUGGCCAUGAAUGCUUCGGUCGGUAUCAAAAGACAGUGUUGGACCGCUCUGCGGAGGGAGAAAUCCUUCUUCGAGAGCGCGAUUGGUCCUUGGCAAGGUAGUGAGUCGCGUUAGUCAAGACGGGCCUACGUCCGUCUGACUGCUCUCGCUCCUGUUGGUCGAGGUACUCUAUCGCCGGUCAAUUUCUAUGGCACUAGUCUACGGCGAAUCAGUUUUGGGCUCUUGUCCGACCCGUCUUGAAACACGGACCAAGGAGUUUAGCGUGUGUGCGAGUCAUUGAGUGAAAAAACUCAAAGGCGAAAUGAAAGUGAAGGGAACUUUACGUUUCUGAGGGAAGAUGAGACGGUUUCUUUUCCAAGAGCCUCUCCGCACUCCCGGGGCGUCUCUAUCUCAUUGCGAGAGGAGGCGCACCUAUAGCAUACACGCUGAUACCCGAAAGAUGGUGAACUAUGCCUGGCCAGGACGAAGCCAGGGGAAACCCUGGUGGAGGUCCGCAGCGAUUCUGACGUGCAAAUCGAUCGUCGGAGCUGGGUUUAGGGGCGAAAGACCAAUCGAACCAUCUAGUAUAGAUGAGAACCCUGGCUUUUCUUAAACUAUGAAGCCAAGGGGUUUCGGAUCAGAGUGCCAAGUGGGCCAAUUUUGGUAAGCAGAACUGGCGCUGUGGGAUGAACCAAACGCGGAGUUAAGGCGCCUCAAUCGACGCUCAUGUGAGACCAUGAAAGGCGUUGGUUGCUUAAGACAGCAGGACGGUGGCCAUGGAAGUCGGAAUCCGCUAAGGAGUGUGUAACAACUCACCUGCCGAAGCAACUAGCCCUGAAAAUGGAUGGCGCUGUAGCGUCGUGCCUAUACUCCGCCGUCAACGGCAACGCAGGCAGUCCUCUCACGGGGACGGCGCUGUUAAGCCUUGACGAGUAAGAGGGCCGCGGCGAUGUGCGCAGAAGGGUUUUGGGCGUGAGCCUGCCUGGAGCCGUCGUCGGUGCAGAUCUUGGUGGUAGUAGCAAAUACUCCAGCGAGGCCCUGGAGGACUGAUGUGGAGAAGGGUUUCAUGUGAACAGCUGUUGCACAUGAGUCAGUCGAUCCUAAGCCCUAGGAGAAAUCCGAAGCGAUGGGUUGCCGUUAAACGUUAACAAGCUUGAUGUUGGCACCAUUUGGGCGAAAGGGAAUCUGGUUCCUAUUCCAGAACCUGGCAGUGGAACCGUUCCAAAUCGGGCCCUCAUUGAGGACUCGUCAGGGCAACCUGAAAGGACCCGGAGACGCCGUCGGGAGAUUCAGGGAGAGUUGUCUCUUCUCUAUAAGCGAUCGAGUUCCCUGGAAACCUCUAGCAGGGAGAUAGGGUUUGGAUCGCGAAGAGCACCGCAGUUACGGCGGUGUCUGAAUCUUCCCCACGGACCUUGAAAAUCCGGGAGAGGGCCACGAGGAACCCCACGCCAGAUCGUACCCAUAUCCGCAGCAGGUCUCCAAGGUGAAAAGCCUCUAGUCGAUAGA
rnacentral:rRNA from 1 species